GCUCUUUCGAUCAAGCAGCAGAGUCGUAAUCGCGAUCGUCCUGGUGGCCCGUUUCGAUUUCAACGAGAAACAUGCGCGCGCCACCGAGAACACCGAACACUCUUCACUCUUUUUGUUUUCCCAAGCAUUUUUAGCCUCGUGGCCAUUUCAAAGGACGUUGCCUUGUUCGAAAUGAGAAAUAUCUCGCGAAAUGUCUGGCGAAAACAAAUUUACCAGGAUUGAAUCUUCUUGGGAUUAAUUCUUUUUAACGAUUUAUAGAUUAUGAUGUUGUUGAAGUGAAAAUUUAAUCAGAAUAAUGUUAAAUUAUUUUAAUUUAUUUGCAAAUUUUGAAAAUUUCACAUCUCGUGUAGACGUAUAAAAUUGCAGAGCAUAUUUGAUGUGUCAAGAUGAAUAGUUAAUAUUAAUCUCUUCGUAAAAAUAUUUCAUUGUCACGUCGAUGUAGUGUAUCAUUGAUUUUCUCACGCGUCAUUUAAGUAUUCUCUCGACUAAUUUCUUGUUACAUCAUGGAAAUUGAAAAAAAAAAAUCUAAACAACUUAAAUGUAAAUAAAUUUUUAUUUUCCAAAGAAAUACAAGAAGAAGGGUUUUUUUAUCUUCUUUGUCAUUCGUAGGCAGAAUUUUUAUUCAAAAAUAUUCUAAAAAACGACUUUGUAGUUCUACUUGUGCAUUAUAUUUUUCGUUAUUACUAAAAAUAUGAAUUUGCGCGGUACACAGUUUUCUCAAGGGAUAUACUUUAUGUCUGCUCGAAGCAGGAUAAAAGUGUCUUUGCACGUUCGAGGAAUCCCAUAAACGCAGGUCGAUAACACAGAAUGCUUCUUUAUUUUCUUGCAUUCCUUACUUCUCCAAUGACAUUCAAAAGUAUUCUUAUUUAAGAAAUUACUUCAUUUAUAAACUAUAAUCACUGUCUCGAUUCUUUACGCAUUUGACAGUUCAUAUAACGUCAAAUUGUUAUUUUUUUUUUUUUUUUUCUUUAUCUCUUUUACGUUUGAUAAAAUUGCCACGUCACCUGAAUUUUAAUAAAACCAAUAUUUCCAUUCGACGAGAGUAUUGAGCAAACCGUUUGAAAUCCAUUCCACACAGAUGCGUCACCUGACCUUAUCAGUCUUUCCAAACGUCACCCAAUAUGCGCAAACUCGAGCAGUUUUAAAUCAACCUCGGCAAGAUGCGUAAUUAAAUUCGUGAAAAUACCAAUAAGCUAGCCAGACUAACGAAAAAUCCAGUAAUUAAAAGUGUUUGAAACGUCUCCCCCGAUUCCAUGUUCUAUCGAGGAAAAAGCACGCUCUUCAGUCGUUAAGGAUAAGUACUCGGGUUGAACUCGCGCUGUCAGUACACAGUGGAAUUGAAAUUUUCUCAGUAGAAGUUGUGAGUGGGGAACUGUUCGUUUAGACAUGGACGAAACGAUUGUUCACCCGGUGUAUCGCGAAAUUAAUAAAAGAACAAGCGAGAGAGUGAGAGAAUGUGUAAGCGAGUGAGUGAGUGAGUGAGUGAGUGAGUGAAUGAGUGAGAAAGAAAGAGAGAGUUGUGGUUUAACUCGCGCGAAUCGAGAGCGACGUCAAGUUCAAUGAUAAUCGAGACGGACUUGGCACGCGUCACCGCGACCGGAUUUUCCCUCUUCGUUGAUCUUGGACCGAUAGUGGCGCCACGCUAGCUACAGACAUGGCGUCGAUCAUGUUUCUACGCGGAACAGAGGAACCUGCCAGCGAGACGACGAUUCAGCAACGUGUGCAUUACCUCGUGUUCAUCGAACAGUCCUAAAAACCAUGUACUAAAACGUUAUCGUUCGCUCGGACAAAAAACUGUGAGACAAUUUUUCGAUCGAGAAAAGACUUGGAGUUCUUCGAUCUCGAAAACGAGAAACAAAAAAAA